ACAGUGCCUCUACCGACGUUCAUCCUUGGCCCGUGUUGGACUGAGCAUGGCCAGUUCUAUGGAGACUUGUCACGUGAUGGAGGAGAGCUUUGCCCCAAUGUCACAUGUCUAGGUCAGCGUGGAGUGUACAGUGCGUCCAGUGGUCUGAGGGUGGCCUAUCUCAGUGGGAGCUACCAGGGGAGGACCUAUAUCAGCACUGCAUCAAGACAAGGGAGAUAAUCUAUUGCGACCAUAUUUCACUGACUCUGAUGUGUCCUGGCUGGAGGGUCAGUGCAGUGGAAAGGGCUACCGUGGAGUGGACAUUCUCCUCACCUCUGAUUGGCCCAGGGCAGUGGACAAGUUCACAGUGGCUCCUGACGGACUGGACCUGAGUGCAGUGGGGGCAAAGCCUCUGAGUAAACUGUCCAUGUGUGUCAAACCACGCUACCAUUUUGCAGCUCUACACCAAACCUUCUAUGAGAGAAUACCGUACAGGUACAGUACGUCUAUCCCUGUAUUAUUAGUGUCAGCUCAGAGUUCUGGUUGUCUAUGGUUUUCUGAAUACCAUAGUCCAAGGCUGAAAACGACAAUUACGCCCCUUAUCAAAUUUCUCAGUUUUUAGAUCGAUAGAUCGAAGCAUUUCAAAAUAGAUACUCAAUUGCAACCUCCCCCCUAAUUACUGUCCAAAAUACACGGACUAUUGAUUUCCAUGAUUUCUAUUUUAAUUAACCCUUUAACCGUCAGAUUCUUAAUUAACAGUGAAGUGAAAUGUCUGUAAAUUCUCUAUCGGGUUUCCAGAGCGAUAAAAUGCCUAGCAACCAUAUACCAAUAGAAUGCCCAUACAGCAAGGAAUAAAAUGGUGCAACAUGUGUUGCCAUAACAACCACGGUUAUUACGCUCACCCGUUUUUAUCAUUUUAAAUGCUCGGCCAGCGGUGAGAUAAAAUCCAAAAAUUUUUUUUUAUGGAUCAGCCUAUCAUAUGGUAUAAAGGCUUGACUAAGCUUGAUUUUCACAUCAUAUGAAUGUAACAGUGCUAAGAUUAUCAAUUUGAAGUACAAUACGUACAUGUAUUACUAUAUCGGUGAACGAUCUAUGAAAUUUACAAGCUCACAUAAAGACUGUUCAUUACUGCUAAUUCUAUUUUAGCUAUACUAUACUUACACUACUGAUAUUCUAGCUAUACUAUACUACUUGCCAGAGUCACACAGUGAGCCCUCUCCUGGUCUUUCACCGUCCUGGUCCUAGCUCUAGCGUCUAGGUCCAUGUCAUGCAUGUCCUCAGUCCCAGACAGUUCAUCAGCGUCUGGCAUAAAGCUGGUAGCCUUUGGGAGGUAUCCUACUAUCCCCUCUCCUUCAUAGGCACUGUCAUCACCAGAGGAGACAUCGCCAUUGCUGUCCUCAAGCUGUUCAAGCACAUUGGCACAAGUAAACAACUUAGCCAUAGCUAUAAACUUCGUGCGGUAAGAUGCUAAUGAAAUUUUAACAUAGCAACGUGGCUUGGAAAAUUCUAGACUAAAUUGCACGUGAUUCUACAGCUCUUCCUCUAUACAGGGAUGUGCGUAGUUCAAGCUACUUCCUAAGUAUCGCAGAAUUAGAAUUUCGCAAAAAAAGUCCGGUGGCCCGUGACGGUUAAAGGGUUAACCAAAAGUUUAGAAAGAGGCCAUCUAGCAAAGUAUAGGUCUUUGCAAUCUUAUUUGUGAGUCAUGUAGGUUAUUCCAGCUAGUGACCAAGAUUCCUCUGAGACAAGCCUUCAUAGAUUAUGGGCGGAGUAUGGGGGUGGGGCUUGAGACUGUGCCCAGGGAAACACCACCCUCAGAGGUAACACACUCACAUCAUAGCUGUACCAUGUUCAACGUACCAUUCUCUAAGCCUUUUAUUGAUCGAUAGUUCUCUUAGCUAGAAUGUAAUGGUUUCUACACACCGCUCGCCCCUACACACACACACACACACACACACUCCCUCCCAUCACCCACCCACACACAAGUUAAGAGGUGGGUUCAGUAUACUAUAUAUACCAUACAUGUGCAUACUAUAAUUAUGCACAUGCUCGCUGCUCAAUGUUCCACAUUUUUCAAUAUUAUCGACUAAACACUCGUUUACUAUAUUUUCCAUCCUAUCCAUGCACCUGCAGUCGGUCGCCCUAAGGCUGAAGUGAUCUCGGGCUGUAGGAGUGCCAUAAAAAAAACAAAGAGGUGGAGAUCCACUGUUAAAAAUCAUGCUAACUAAUCCUCAUAUAUACGUAUGUACUGUGUCUAAUAGUAUAUAUAGUGUUAUCACAGCAAACCGAUUAUAUAAUUAAAAUGUGCCUAUUGGAAUUUAAUUGUUAUAAUUGUCGUAAAUACAAGAUUAUAUUAUAAGUACAAAAUUUAAUAUGGCAAUGCUGGUAAAUAACGACUAAUAUCUAAAGCUUGUGGAAUUGCAUCAGCACUCAUACUACUAAG